UAGUGCACGUUUUGUGCGACCACAAGAAAUUCUUUUGGCUGUCUCUCGGUCGGUCUGUCGGUCGGUCGGUCGGGAGUGCAUUGGCUGUCAUUUGAUUGUCGAGGUUUUGCAUUACAAUUAUUCGAGUGCCUGCUGAAAUAGUCAAGGCAACAGCAACAGCAGCAACAACAAAUGCAGCAGCAGCAACAACAAUGACACAGCAAGGUGUAAGCCAACACUUUUGACGACGCUGGCAAAUAUUUUAUGCAUGAAAUUUCAAGCUCAAAUCUCAGCUCAUGGCGUUGCCAUCAGCCAUCAGCCAGCAGCAGCAGCAGCUGUUGGUUGGCGUUGCCAGCUCGAGUGCAGAAAGCUAAUUGCGCCGUUGUUUAGAUUUCUUCUUGUCGAUUUCGAACAGGAUGUUGCUCAUUAUUUAUGCAUUGCUGGCCAAUAAAGUUUAUAUUCCCGCCUA